AUGCAUCAAACAGUGAAGGGCAUCAAGAUGGUGUUACAGACCCAUGUCUUCAUAUUUCUGCUCUUCUGGGUAUCUGGUGCCUAUGGGAACAUUGUAAUGACCCAGUCUCCCAAUUCAUUAUCUGUGUCAGUAGGAGACAAAGCCACCAUGAGUUGUAAGUCCAGUCAGAAUGUAGGUACCAAUAUAGCAUGGUACCAGCAGAAACCAGGGCAGUCUCCUAAACUGCUGAUCUACUAUGCAUCCACUCGGAACACUGGGGUCCCUGAUCACUUCACAGGCAGUGGGUCUGGGACAGAUUUCACUCUCACCAUCAGCAGUGUCCAGGCUGAAGACCUGGCAGAUUACUACUGUCAGCAGCAUUAUAGUACUCCUCCCACAGUGCUUCAGCCUCCAACAAAAACCUCCUCUGAGAGUCUCACCAGCUGCCUGCACCACACACAGCGCUGGAUCUGCAUACUUCCCCCUUCUUCCUGA